AACUUCUGGAAAUGGUCCUAAGAAAAGGCAGCAACUGAAGAAACUUCUAUUUAAGAAAAUUUACAAGAAUUUGGUAAGAUAGCUCCAUAGUCAUCAUAAUUCUGAGGACUGGGAAAGAAGAACCAUUUCAUUUCCAUUUGUCUGGCUGAAGCAAGAGCUGGUUGUAGUGAUGGGGACUCUGGUCAGAAAGAGAACAGAAGAGCCAUCUUGGAUCUUUUCUGAGAUCCUACCCUCAACUCUCCCAUAAUUUCAGAAAACGUUACUACCACAUGUAAUGGAGCAGGAGGUCUUAGAGGCCCCCAUGGAGUGACACCUGACAGAGAGCUCUCUGCCUCUAGGCCUUGAGGAAGCAGGUAGGAGUUUUCUCUCCUUGGGUAUAAUUUUGUUGUUGAAACAUCAAUAAGAAAACAAGCAAAAAGCACAGAGGAUAAUAAACAGGUAUCCAAGAAUUAGCCAUCCCAAAGGAUCAAAUGUUAAUAUUGGAACACAUUUACUUCCAACCUUUUUUCUAAAAAAGAAAAUAUUAUAGAUAUUUUGAAGUCUAUGAAGUUCCCCUCUCAACUCUCCCCACCUCCAUUCCCACCCAACAUCCCUAUGGUAUCAUUCCAGCCCAGGUAUCAGCACUUUUUAUAAACUUAUGUGUCUACACAUAAUAGAUUUAUUUUGUUUGUUUUUUUAAAUUACCACUUUAAAAAAAGUAAUUUCUAGGAAGGAUAAGGAAUGAGUGAAGGAAUUGAAGGGCUAGCUGAAGAACUGGAUCUCAACAAGGACGGGAAGCAGCAUUUCUUGGAGUCAGGGGGCAGGACCUAAGGGAGAGUCACCAAGAUGGCUCAAUGCCCUCUCUUCCCACACUCCCGUCCCUCCACUCUAAGAAGAGGUCUGACUGGCUGAGGCUGGGUCACCAACCCUCCCCUUGACUGGGGAGCUGGAGCACACGUGAUUGACACUCUCACCAAGUCGGAUACACGGGUAGAGGGGGUGAAAGCCUGGUGCCUUUGCCAGAGGAGGGCAAGUGGGUGCUGGGCAGGCGCUAACAGAAAUCUCAGCCUCUAGCCACCCGCCCCAUGCUUCCUCGCUCCCUUCACCCUUCUUAGAGCCACUCCCUUUUGAACACAGAAUCUCAAAAUUCUUCCCAUGAUACUUCGCAGACCUAUUCACCUCUUUUUCUCUCCCCCAGACCGACUUGUCUGGGCCUUUUCGGUGUCAACUUUCUUGGCCAAAGGGCCUUAUUUGUUUUCCCUAAACAAAGAGCCAUCCACCCGGGAGAUAAAUUAAGUCACUUCUCUAAGACACACCUGGCUGCAAGAAGCUGUGUUUCCAAGGAGUACCUCUGCCUCUGUCCUACACUCACGCUGAGGAGAGAGGCCAUGUUCCUGUGGCGGUCUCCUGUUUGGUUGCUGGAGGGUGGUGUUGAAGAUGAUAACAAGAGAGAGAAUAAAUAUUGGGUGGAAGAGAGGAAAAGGAGGGAGAGGAGGAGUGACAGAAAACAGAGGACCUAAGAGGAAACAGGAGGGCAGUAGAAGGAACAUUGUGUUUCUUCUGGGUGAUGGGUUGGGUUGGGUUGGAUUGAGAUUCUUAAAUAUUUUUAUGGCAUUAACUUUCAGCCACUGGAGUAAGUUUCUGGUCCCCUUAUCAAAAAAAAAUUUUUUUAAUGCAUAAAAUGAAAUACAUAGAAUUACAAAGGAAACUGAUUAUAUUGAAAUAUGGAAACUUAAACGUUUUGUCAAAUAGUAAUAUGUGUGCUUCUUUCUUAAUGUUUUAAUGAUAAGACCUGGUAGUGGGUCUAAUUGCUGUAAUGUGAAGAGGAAGUGAUGAGCAUAUGUGAUAUAAAGAUAUCCAUGUUCUACUGGUGACAAAAUUGCAGCACUGCAAUUGAUCGUAGAAGGAAAUGCUACAUUUCAGUUAGUUGUUCAUAAAAAUAAAGAUGUGGGUUUUAUUCCCAAGCAAAUCCACCAGGUUCUUGAGUUCUAUCUGUAGAAACCAAGUUCAGAAUUUCUGCUCUGGGGGGAGGAUGAAGACGCUCUUUCCAUGAGACACUUUGAAGCAAGGCGUGUAGGUGGUGCUGCUUCGAGGCACCAAGUGUGGCCCAGAGGCAGGCAGAGGGCCAUGCCCUCCUCUGCACAGGACUCCACCUUGAUGUGGCACCUGGGGAAUAGUGACUUUGGGAGGACCAACAGUGGCCUUGUCACAUGGGUGUGCUCAGUGGUACCCAUCAUGUGGCUCCUCCAAGUGGAGCCCCACACAGGGCAGGAGCAACAUGGUGGUGAAGGUCCAUGGCUGGAGGAGGAAAGGAGUGAGUGGGGCUGCUUCCCUUUCAGUACGUGGCAGCACCAGGCAUCUGGUGGCCCCUUGCAGAGAGGAAGUGCUGCUUCCUGUCAGAUUUGUGAGAGCUUUGUCAACAUAGGUAGGGAUUUUAUUUUAUUUUUAAAUUUUUUAAUUUUUUAAAAAGAUUUUAUUUAUUUAUUCAUGAGAGAGAGAGAGGGGCAGAGGGAGAAGCAGGCUCCCAAGGAGCAGGGAGCCCGAUGCGGGACCCGAUCCCAGGACCCUGAGAUCAUGACCUGAGCCGAAGGCAGACGCUUAACCAUCUGAGCCACCCAGGCGCCCAACAUAGGUAGGGAUUUUAACUAACCUUUUGUACCCAGUGAAACUAGUCAAAUUCCGGAAUGUCUUUCUCAUCUUCUUUUUGGAGGUAUGCUAAACUCUAGGAGUUCACACAGGUACUUUGAGGGUAUCGGUUCAAAGGAGUCUCUGCGUCUUGAUCUUGAUCUGUCUUUGUCUUGAACUGAGACAGAAUUCAACCUUUUGGUCCAUGGGCGGCUCUGCUGACAUGUGAGGAUGCCCCAUGUGAACCCUGGCUCCAGCAUCCCCUUGCCUUAGAUGCAGACUUUCUCCUCUCUCCCCCCCCCCCUCUCUCCUCCCUCCCCCCCUUUCACGGACUCAGGAAACAUUCAAAUGCUUUCACGUGGGAGAAAUCAUGGGCUUUUGCUGGCUUUUUAAUGCCUGGACCUCAUACACGUCAUGAGCUACUACAUGACCAUGAUGGAGCAGAGACUGCCCUGUGAGGCCUUGAUGAUCUGCUAGGGAAAUAAGGGGGAAGUGGACUCUAUCUACCCUGGGGCCUCCAAACUUGAAGAGAGAUUCCAUUAUUUUUCCUUGUCUUGGACUAGGUUGGUGAACAUGAAGGGCAAGCAGAGGUACCACACACAUGAGUCACCCUCCUGCUUCCCCAGCUCCUCCCUCCCCGGUUCAGACUGUAUUUAUCCAGUCGCCCUGAAGUAGGGCACGUGCCCUUUGUUUACUUCUCUUUCCAGUCUUGUUAUGACACAAACCUUCUGUUUUCAUGCCUUGCAAGGGGGUAGCCUUUUGAAACUCCACCUUCCUGCCUUCUCUCAAAAUUCUCAGCUUUUACAAAUUAGGAUCUGGGCUUCAAGGCCAUUAAUUCUAACUUUCAAGAGCCUAUUUAACACUGAAAAUGCAAGAAUUCGUUUCUUUGGUUUCUGCAUUUGGCUCUGUUCAUGUAGCCAUGAGUAGAAGCAGGUAGGUGACAGAGUGGGUCACAGGAUAACUUUUGUGUGAGGAAAUUAUUUGGUAUCUCAGGAUAUCACAUCAGCAUCCUGAACUGUAUGAGCUCUGGACAUUCACAGGCAUGUGAACACUCAAGUGUCAGCUGCAUUUUCUGCCCCAGACACAAUUCUUUCCUGUACAGCGUGAACAUAUUUUAAAGUUCAGUUUCUGCUUUAUCACAUAUCAAUCUCUGAGUCAGAGAAGGCAUAUGAUGUUGAUGACGAGACAGGUCUUAUUCUAUUUGGAGAUAGAAGAAGAAGGAGAAUGAGGGGAAGGAGAAGAAGAAGCAGUAGGAGGAGGAGAAAGAUGAAGACAAUUAGCAUGUUGAGAAAGCUCAUCCGUGCAAUGGACGGCGUAGGAGACAAGGGGUGUUGGGGGAGGAGGUCACAUGUAUCGUUGGGAGGCACAGUGCCCGGGCCUUGCUGAUGGCCUAGAACACGGGCUUUGGCCGGGAACACCUUCUUCAAGGAGAGAGGUAUUACCGUAAGUGGAGUCUUGGUUAUCUGAUCCCAGGGAGGCACGACUCCCGCCUGCACUGAUGUGCUCACACUUUUCAGUCUUCUCAGGCACACCACCUCUACUCUCCACCAUCUUCAUUCCUCAGAGGCUCGGCCGGGCUCUUCCAGAGUCAGUGUGAAUGCCGAGCAGGGACAGCAGGACAGGCAGUUUGGCUCAGGGAGCUGUGAGCAGCAUCACCCCCAUCUCCAUGAGUGAAAAUGUGAGGCAACACUCCCAGUGGAGGCCCCAGUUGGCCCCACUUGAGAAACACCUGUGUAGCCAGGGCUGAGGGGAAAGGAUGGUGGUGUGCACUUGCGUGAGUUUGUUCCCACACACAGUGCCCAUCGGGAAGCUUCCUUGGUGGCAACAGAUGAGCAGCACACAGGCCUCACGCACCAACAGCUCCCCAGUGUUCUGGGCCGUGGAGGGGAUGCCCGCAGUGCCCGGCGCCCCGCAGAGAGCAAGGGACGCUCCCCAGGAAAUACUCUCACGCUCUUGAACUUGACGGAGGCUCACUUGCAUCCUGCUUUGAAUGGACACCCUGCAUCUCGCUCCGGCUGCUCCUGAAGUUCCAAAUGCUUGCACACAGGACCGUGCGGAAACACGGGCGGGGCCCUUAAGACAGAGCAUUUGCUAGAUGCACAUGGAAGAAGAGAAGCCUUUUCAUCUAAUGCUGAUUCCCAGUCAAAGCAAAAUUCCAGAGAUUGUGAAGAGCAAAAUAACAGUAAGCUGAAAAUAAUUUUGUGUUCAGAGACUCAGUACUCCGCCAUUUGCUUGCAGUCUGUCUAUUGCUUUAUAUGGUUACUUCAAAGCACUGGAUGCUGGGUUCAGAAGGAACUAUUAGUAACAGAAGCAUGGUUUUAAAAAGAAAAUGUGGGGAAGGGAGGGUAGAGGUGGGGAGAUGGGAUGGACCCAGACCACUUCAAUAAUGCCCAGAAUAUCCACACUGAACUCGUUUAUGGAGCUGGAACAAGAAGAAGCUGGCUUUUAUUUGGCCGUGUGUGUGUGUGUGUGUGUGUGUGUCUUUCAAACCUUUGAAAACUGGGGAUAAUUCAAACACAAGCCCAUCAGGAAAACCCUGGAUGAGAUUACCAUUGACAAUUACUCUUCCAAAAUGGUUAAUGCAGGAAAUGUCACUUAAGCAACUUCAAAACCCAGGUCCAUGCCUGCCAUGCAUCAUUUGCAUGGCCAUGCUGGUGAUGAGUGAGGCAGGGUUAUUGCAGAUAAGAGAGAAGCUGCCUUUUAACACAGAUGUCGUGAAAAGAAGGGCUAUAUACACCCCAGUGUUCAUAGCAGCAAUGUCCGCAAUAGCCAAACUGUGGAAAGAGCCGAUAUGCCCUUCAACAGAUGAAUGGAUAGAGAAGAUGUGGUCCAUAUAUACAAUGGAAUAUUACUCAACCAUCAGAAAGGAUGAAUACCCAACUUUUACAUCAACAUAGAUGGGAUUGGAGGAGAUUAUGCUAAGUGAAAUAAGGAGAGAAAGUCAAUUAUCAUAUGGUUUCACUUAUUUGUGGAACAUAAGGAAUAGCAUGGAGGACAUUAGGAGAAGGAAGGGAAAAAUGAAGGGGGGGGACAUCGGAGGG